rnacentral:rRNA from 1 species
UACGUAGGGGGCAAGCGUUAUCCGGAUUUACUGGGUGUAAAGGGAGCGUAGACGGCGAUGCAAGUCUGAAGUGAAAGGCGGGGGCCCGACCCCCGGACUGCUUUGGAAACUGUAUGGCUGGAGUGCAGGAGAGGUAAGUGGAAUUCCUAGUGUAGCGGUGAAAUGCGUAGAUAUUAGGAGGAACACCAGUGGCGAAGGCGGCUUACUGGACUGUAACUGACGUUGAGGCUCGAAAGCGUGGGGAGCAAACAGG